UCUCCCGGGCAACGUCAGGCGGUCGGCCCGGCCCCAGCAACAGCGCCGGGAUUGGCCGGGAGGGGCGACGGGCGGGGACAGAGCGGCGGCCCCGCCCCUCCCCGCCGUUGCCUCGGGCCUGCGGGCGGGGGCCCGGCCCGGCGGGGCGGGGUUGGGGUAGCGGGUGGUUCGUCCGGUUGUGCUGCUGCCGGCCCGCCGCUGCGCCCGCUGCUCCGCCGCGGCCUGGAUGGGCCCCGGGGCGGGUAGCCAGAUACGGGGGCCUUGACCCAGAGGCAGAGGAGGGCAAAUCCCUCAUUGCUUGUUCUUGUGCUUCAUUCCUGGGGUCUCUGUCCCUGCAAUAGCCAGACGCCGUGGGAGCUGAGGUCUUUCUGGGCCCGAGGAGUCUGUGUUUGAGCUGACAGCUGUCCUGCGGGGCAGCCUUGAUGUGCUGCUCUCUGGCACCCAGGUGUUUUCCCCUCCUCUCGAGGUGGAACGGUGCCCUGGGGUAAUAACUGAGGGACGCGCCUGUCGCCUGCCAGCCUUCCAGACGGCAUGGAGAUAAGGGGCCACGUUGUUCCAGCUCUGUGCAGGCAGCACGAGGAGCCUGGGGACCUUUGUGCUUAAGAUGUUCUGGGCAAUAAAAUGCUGCUCCUGGGGUCACUGCUUCCAAGGGUCCAAGCCAAGGGCAGAGGACAGCAUGGUGAUGGGCAAAGUGCCACUCAGUUUCACUGUCUGUGAGCAAGGUGCAGCCUUGUCAGCACUUGGAAUGGGCUCAGGUGCCCAGCAGUGCAGCCAGCACGGUGCAGGGAAAGGCGCCGGGCAGAGUGAUGGGGCCGGGUGGGAGAGAUCAGUGGCACAGUCUGUGGUAAUUGGCAGCUGAUGGCAUGGGGCUGUGCGACCACAAGAUGCCGGGAUGUCUCCACUCACAGUGUUUAUUCUUCAGGAUGUCCCCGUCACACACCCAGCUGCUGUGAUUAUUAAUUACUAUUUAUAAUUUGCUUUGGGUACGAGCUGCAAUAAAGGUGGGAGCCUCCUGGCAGCUUCCAGGCUGGGUGGCGGGGCCACAGCUGCAGCAUGACUGGGGCUCAACCGCCCGAUGAGAUGGAUAACCCAUCACCGUCCCAUCAUCCCCACCACUGCUCUCCCAUUUUGACUGCUCCAGAUCUCUACAGCCUCUGCCCAAGCCAGGCAAGUGGAGGGGAUUCCUUGUGCUGUGCUGGGGGCACACGCUGUGAGCAAGGGCACCAGCAAUGACAGCAUUACAGCCCAUCAAGUCUGUGCUGCAGUGGGUGUUCCAGCGGUUGCGUGGAUUGUCUGAUGGCUUGGGCAUGCUUUGCUGCCCAUUGUGGUGUUCCCGUUGCUGGGUUCCCUCCAUGCUGCCCAUAGCACAGAGCAAGCCGUGGAGCCGCUCUGUGCUUUGUGCCGCAGGCAGGGAUGGGUCAGAGCUAUCGGGUGGCUGCCAAAGGGCCGCACUGCAGGGUGAACUUUCCCCCAGUGAACAGCCAGAUGUGGGCACAGCCGCCUCCUGCCCCAGGAGGUGGUGUGGGCUGUGUGGGUUGCACUGUCUCAUGUGCCUUGGGCAGUUCUCUGCUGUGACUUCCCAAGCCCAGGCUGUCACAGCCUAGCUUAGGGUGGGGUUGGAAGUGGGCACAAGUUCCCAUGUGAUGCUUGGGGCUGGGGCACAGGGAGCGGCUUGCUGGGGGGCAGGCAGAGGGGUUCCCCUGGGUACCCAGGGCCAGAUCCCCACUGGGUGCACGUGAUGCCCACGCGGGGCCAUGGCCAUGACCCAGGCAGAGGGCUCGUGCCUCCCUUGCCCGCGUGCAGCCCUGUGGUACCGCUUGCUUCCUCUUUUUUUUUUUUUUUCACACCAGCUGUGGAGACAUCGUGCGCACCCCAUGUCUGGAGCAAAUAACAAACCCACGUCAUGUGUUUUCGGUUUCUCUGUUUCCUUGCCUCAGAGGCACGUGCUGGAGAUGUGCAGCAGCACCUGGGCACUUUCCGUUUGGUACAAACAGAGUGCCCUGGGUCACCGGCAGAGAUGACAACAAUGCACUGUUUGCACGGGCACCCGAAAACAUUUGGGGUUGUCAGUGGAGCAGGUACCCCCCUGCUUUCCAGAAACUUCCUUGGAGGUGCGGUUUGGCCAGAGGGACACCAGCUGGUUUGUGGUGCGUUGCCCCUGGGCCUGCCAGGGAUGUGGCAGCGGCGGUGGGGUCACGGCAUCGCCUGUUUGCCGCACGUCCCUCCUGCAGCAGUGCCGAGGAUGGCUGCCCGGGCGCUGGCCCGAGCGAGGGGCGGGGGUCUGGGCCAGUCCCAGGGAGGGAGCAGCUCUGGCAGGCCCUGAGCCGGUGAGAGCAGCGCUGGCCCGACGGCCCCUCGCCCGGGAACGGCGGGGCCGUGCGCUGCGGCAGUCCUUGGCUGUCCCCUCGGCGCUGACGGGCAGCGCAGAAAUAGCAGCUGGCCCAGUUCUCCCGCCCCCGUGGCCCAGAUCUCUAAGAACGGAGGUUGCUCGCGCAGCAACAGCGGCAGCGGCAGAGGCAUCAGGCGCUGCAUUUAGCCCAUGAGCUCAAAGAGCGGGAGAGGCUGCCAGCAGGAUCCCAGCCUGCCUGGGUGACGCUCCUGCUUGGAGACUGCGCUGCGGGCUCUGUUUGUUGCUGUAAACACGCUGCCGCUGCAGCUUCCCUGUUACUAUCUAUAGCCGCGAUCUCUUGGCUCCCGUGCGAGGCGAGGCUGCGGUCUGGCCGCCGGCUCUGCCUGCCCCGAGCCAGGGCUGCCGACAUCCCCGUCGUGGGUGGGUGUCUCCGGGCUUCGCCGCGACGGGGAUCAAAACAAAACCCAAACUGGAGGAAAGGACGGGCCUCGCCCUCGCUGCUCCCCCGGUGCCCCCCGCCCGCGCCCCUGUUCCAGCGCCCGGGGGCUCUCCGGAGGGCUCCGCGGCCCCGGGGCUGCCCCGCACUCCUUCCCGGCUCUCCGUGUG